UACAGAGGUCCCGAGCGUUGUUCGGAUUCAUUGGGCGUAAAGGGUGCGUAGGUGGCGCUGUAAGUGGGGUGUGAAAUCCCGGGGCUUAACCCCGGGACUGCAUUCCAUACUGCGGUGCUUGAGGACUGGAGGAGGAGACUGGAAUUUACGGUGUAGCAGUGAAAUGCGUAGAGAUCGUAAGGAAGACCAGUGGCGAAGGCGGGUCUCUGGACAGUUCCUGACACUGAGGCACGAAGGCCAGGGGAGCAAACGGGG
rnacentral:rRNA from 1 species